UACGAAGGGGGCUAGCGUUGCUCGGAAUCACUGGGCGUAAAGGGUGCGUAGGUGGUUAGGUAAGUCUGAUGUGAAAUCUCUGGGCUCAACCCAGAAACUGCAUUGGAUACUAUCUAGCUAGAGGAGUGGAGGGGGGACUGGAAUACUUGGUGUAGCAGUGAAAUGCGUAGAUAUCAAGUGGAACACCAGUGGCGAAGGCGAGUCCCUGGACACUUCCUGACACUGAGGCACGAAAGCUAGGGGAGCAAACAGG
rnacentral:rRNA from 1 species